rnacentral:snRNA from 1 species
GGAUGUAAGGGUGAUCUGCCUGUAGCAUUUGUUGCCCCGUUAGUGUUACCCAUCUGGCUGGCUGGUUAGUGUCCCCUUCUUCCUCCAUCUCUCCAUGAGUGUCCCUCCCAAAGCUGCACCACAUUUCCUGAUAGGCUAGGGCCAUUCUGCAGUCCAGAUAAAUGAGUAGCUGCGCUCCCCUGCUGGAACUUCCAAACAAUCUUUCAGGGUUCAAAAGAAAGCAAAAGGCUUAAAAUCCCCUACAUAAACACCAUAAAUCAAAAGGGAGAGAACAAAUGAAAAAUAAAACUUA